AUUGAACGCUGGCGGCAUGCCUUACACAUGCAAGUCGAACGGCAGCACGGGGGCGAACCCUGGUGGCGAGUGGCGAACGGGUGAGUAAUACAUCGGAACGUGCCCCGUACGCGGGGGACGAACCAGUCGAAGACUGGCUAAUACCGCAUACGCUCCACGGAGGAAAGCAGGGGAGUCGCAAGACCUUGCACUAUGGGAGCGGCCGAUGCCCGAUUAGCUAGUUGGUGAGGUAAAGGCUCACCAAGGCAACGAUCGGUAGCUGGUCCGAGAGGACGACCAGCCACACUGGGACUGAGACACGGCCCAGACUCCUACGGGAGGCA
rnacentral:rRNA from 1 species